UCAGGAUUUCGAGCCACAUAAAGAAAGGAACAACAAAUUAACAGAAUAACUAUUUCAAACCGUAUUUCAAGCCAACAAAUUAACAGAAUAACUAUUUUCGUGAUUUUCAGAGCAUCAGUAUGUCUGCAUUUAUUAUGGUUGUUGUUAACCUGUGGCCUCAUCCAUAUUGAAUAAGGCUAAGCAACAUAUAGCAUAGUAGCCAUCGUUGUAAAUGGAGCCAAUUUUGAGGAAGAAAAUUAGAUAUCGUCUAGAACUCAUGAUGAUUUUCUGCAAUUUCUAUGUUACAAAAUGCUGCCGGAACAAAUGAUGAUAUUGUUGAUUGGUCUCAUGGAAAGAGGUUGUGGGAACUCUCCAAGGAAAAAUAUGAUCCCUUGUGGGUUAAGGGAGGUGGCCAUUGCAACCUUGAAACAUUCCCUGAGUUCAUCAAGUACUUGCGCAAGUUCAUUAAUGCAAUGGAAAAACUCACAAUCACAAGACAGACAAACAAACAACUCACUCAAAAUCCUAGUAUUACUGAAUCCAGACACAACAAAUGCUUAAGAUUUGGCAAAAAAUAGCUUGAUCUUUUUGAGGUUUUGCAUGUAGGGAAUCAGAAUCAUGGUUUGAUUGAAGGUUGAGACCAAAUGCAACUGUGCCCGUGCCACUUUGAUUCAUAAAUUCAUGAUUUGGAAGCCAAUCAAUCAAUUAGAGAAUUGAAGAAUGUCUAAGACCCUAACCACCCCCCCCCCCAAAAAAAAAUAUAUAUUGAAGGAUAUCUCAUCCAAAUCCUGUUUAGAUAGUCAUAGCCUAGAACUCACGAGUGGUGGUUGCGUGGUUAAUUAUGAUGUACUUAAUUUGGCUUUGUGGCAAACUUGUUUAGUUUAUGUAUAGGCCAUGAUCAUACUCCGGAAGAAAAGAAUGUUCUCUUAUCCACUACUAUAUCUCCUCGAUUUCUUUAGGCAAAUUAUGUAGAUAACGGGGCACCUAGAUUGUUUAUUUUAUUAGUGAAUCAACAUGUCUUAUAAUUGUGUAAUAGUUUGCUAAACCAAUCAAGAAUCAUGUGGGGCCCCGUGGAGCUAGUCAACAGCUUGCUGGUUUUGAAAUCAUUAAUAUUUUCAGUGUGCUGUCGAAUUUGAAGCCAUAGAAUUGGAACAUAGAAUGUUCACUUUUGGUGAAAUACUUGAUAAUUGAGAACUGCGACGUAACAAUGUGUAUAAGUAAUGCAUUAUUUGAUAAUCAUCAUGUUCUUUUUUUAAUUA